rnacentral:misc_RNA from 1 species
AGUGAUGUGGAAAACCCAUAUAAUCCUCACUCCCUGAAAUGGUUUUCAACGAUUAACAAGCCAACAAACAAACGAAAGAAAAAGAAAGGAAAAAGAGUGAUGUAUUAGUGUGUAGUCACCUCAAGGGAAGCGGAAAACAAGAAAACUUCCCUGGACCAUGGUCUAUGGUGCAUCAAGAGUCUUGAUCCACCAUGGACCACGUUCAAGCGAGAAUUACCACCCUUUAGGAGGGGUGAAAAUUAUAAGCACUCUCUGCCUUGAGUUUAUACCCAGACCAUGGCUUCAACAAUUUUUACCAUAGAGAUUAAAACAUUCACUUUCAAGCCAUGUGCUGUUAGAGAAUAUGAACAGACAUGAAUUCGUUAAGACUUAAACAAGGCCCAAUUUCCAGAUUCACGGGAUAAGGCUUUUCAACUUUUGUGGCUCUACUCUUAAUAUUGACAAACUCCUAGCUAAUUGCAUAAAAGGUGCGCAAGGGUGGCCACAAGGUUGAAUGGUACAUGUGGAUUCAAAAGAGAAGACCCACCACCUAAAGCAAUGGCCUCAAAUUGGAAUUGAAAUACACUUGUCUACACACCAUAAUUAGAUCGUGUUCGUACUCGUAAAUAGGGAUGGCAAAGGGUCCGGUUUUUGCGGGUAUUCAAUUCAACUGAACCCUAAUAUGAUGGGUUUGAGUAGUGUAUAAUCGAAUUUGAAACGGAUUCAGAUUUUAUAUGUUGAGUAUCCG